UAAUUCCGUGCCAGCAGCCGCGGUAAUACGGAAGGUCCGGGCGUUAUCAGGAUUUAUUGGGUUUAAAGGGAGCGUAGGCCGGAGAUUAAGCGUGUUGUGAAAUGUAGACGCUCAACGUCUGCACUGCAGCGCGAACUGGUUUCCUUGAGUACGCACAAAGUGGGCGGAAUUCGUGGUGUAGCGGUGAAAUGCUUAGAUAUCACGAAGAACUCCGAUUGCGAAGGCAGCUCACUGGAGCGCAACUGACGCUGAAGCUCGAAAGUGCGGGUAUCGAACAGGAUUAGAUACCCUGGUAGUCCGCACGGUAAACGAUGGAUGCCCGCUGUUGGUCUGAAUAGGUCAGCGGC
rnacentral:rRNA from 1 species